CUGCCGAUGAUGACAUGACCACUGCGCAAUCUGAGUUCUGGGAACCAGGUGAUGGAUUGUGCUGCGAACACUGAGGCCA
rnacentral:snoRNA from 14 species